CUUUGUGGGCCGCAGCGACAGCGGUCUGCGGUUGUCAGUGCUGUUUGUUGCCGUGACUGCUGUUUGUUCCUGCCAGCGGCUGGGGUCUGGCUCUUUUGCCCAGGAUGGAGUGCAGUGGCAUGAUGGUCUCGGCUGGCAGCAGCCUCGACCUCCUGGGCUCAAGCCUUGGCCUCCCAAAGUGCUGGGAUUACAGACACAGAAUCUUCCCAUGUUGCUCGGGCUGUUCUCAAACUCCUGGCCUCAAGCAAUCCUCCCGCCUCAGCCUCCCAAAUUGCUGGGAUUACAGCCCCACCUGCAGAGUCAAGUCCCUCCUCCCACCUCAGCACUGCCAGAAAAGAGCUUCAGGAUAGAGCCACACAUGCCACUCAAGCCCAAGAGUCAGUCAACAGCCCACAGCCCUAAACUCAUCUGUGUCCAAUGCCAGGCCCUGCAACUGCUGAUUUACAUGAAUCAACUCCAUCAUGCAAGCCUCAUGACAACCCAAUGAGCCACCAUCCUGUGAGGAAGCCCAGACCACAUGAAGAGACUACCUGCACGUGUUCAGAUCCACUGUCCCAGCUAAGAUCUCAGCUGACAGCCAGACCAAUCACCAAUCUUAGGAGCUGGCGAGCCUUCAGAUGGUCCAACCUUUGAGACCCCCCAGAGGAGCCAGGUGGAGGAUAGAUGAGCCAUCCUUGCGGAUCCCUUCGCCAAAUGGAAGAUUUAGGAGCAAAAUAAACAAUGUUGUCAUUGCUUUCACCCA